rnacentral:rRNA from 1 species
GAUGAACGCUAGCUACAGGCUUAACACAUGCAAGUCGCGGGGCAGCAUGGGGGUUGCUUGCAAUCCCCGAUGGCGACCGGCGCACGGGUGAGUAACGCGUAUCCAACCUGCCCUUCACCACGGGAUAACCCGGCGAAAGUCGGACUAAUACCGUAUGUUGUCCAUUGACGGCAUCCGAUUUGGACGAAAGGCUUGGCGGUGAGGGAUGGGGAUGCGUCCGAUUAGCCAGACGGCGGGGUAACGGCCCACCGUGGCUACGAUCGGUAGGGGUUCUGAGAGGAAGGUCCCCCACACUGGAACUGAGACACGGUCCAGACUCCUACGGGAGGCAGCAGUGAGGAAUAUUGGUCAAUGGGCGUAAGCCUGAACCAGCCAAGUAGCGUGCAGGAUGACGGCCCUAUGGGUUGUAAACUGCUUUUAUGCGGGGAUAAAGUGGCCCACGUGUGGGCUUUUGCAGGUAUCGCAUGAAUAAGGACCGGCUAAUUCCGUG